GACGAACGCUGGCGGCGUGCUUAACACAUGCAAGUCGAACGGAAAGGCCCUGCUUUUGUGGGGUGCUCGAGUGGCGAACGGGUGAGUAACACGUGAGUAACCUGCCCUUGACUUUGGGAUAACUUCAGGAAACUGGGGCUAAUACCGGAUAGGAGCUCCUGCUGCAUGGUGGGGGUUGGAAAGUUUCGGCGGUUGGGGCUGGACUAGCGGCUUAUCAGCUUGUUGGGGGGGUAGUGGCUUACCAAGGCUUUGACUGGUAGCCGGCCUGGGAGGGUGACCGGCCAAAUUGGGCCUGAGAGACGGCACAGACUCCUACGGGAGGCAGAAGUGGGGAAUAUUGCACAAUGGGCGGAAGCCUGAUGCAGCAACGCCGCGUGCGGGAUGACGGCCUUCGGGUUGUAAACCGCUUUCGCCUGUGACGAAGCGUGAGUGACGGUAAUGGGUAAAGAAGCACCGGCUAACUACGUG
rnacentral:rRNA from 1 species